rnacentral:misc_RNA from 1 species
AAAGUCGUAACAAGGUUUCCGUAGGUGAACCUGCGGAAGGAUCAUUACCAAAAGAUAAUCUUUCUUCGAAAGAUCUUUUCCUUUGUGCUGGCUUUGACCGUUUGUACUUUUGGGACUUAAACAUGGCUUCUCGUAAGUCGGUCCCAAAAAUAUUAUACCAACCUUAUGAAAUUUGACUGAACAACGAACAAAUGAUUUUAAUAAUCUGUUUAAAACAACUUUCAACAACGGAUCUCUUGGUUCUC